rnacentral:rRNA from 1 species
UCUGGAAGUGAGAAUGCUGACAUGAGUAGCGAUAAAACGGGUGAAAAACCCGUUCGCCGGAAGCCCAGGGGUUCCUGUCCAAGGAUCAUCCGGGCAGGGUUAGUCGGCCCCUAAGACGAAGCAGAAAUGCGUAGCCGAUGGGAGACGGGUUAAUAUUCCCGUACCACUGACACAGAGCAGAGCGGGGACGGAGAAGGCUAAGGUAGCCACCUGGUGGAUGGUGGUUUAAUCCAGUAGGCUGUCUGCUUAGGAAUAAAACGAGCGGAUAAAGCCGAGAGGGUAUGUCGAAGAGACUUCGGUCUUGAAGUACCUGAUGCCAUGCUUCCAAGAAAAGCCGCGGGCUGCGAUGAAGUGUUGGUGACCGUACCGCAAACCGACUCAGGUGGGCAGGUGGAGAACACCGAGGCGCUAGGGAGAACACUGGUUAAGGAACUAGGCAAAUUAAUACCGUAACUUCGGGAUAAGGUAUGCCAGUUAGGUGAAGGGCCUGCGCCUGGAGCCCAAACUGGUCACAGCAAAGCGGCGGUAGCGACUGUUUACCAAAAACACAGGUCUCUGCAAAGUCGUAAGACGAUGUAUAGGGGCUGACGCCUGCCCGGUGCCGGAAGGUUAAGAGGAGCUGUCAGCGCAAGCAAAGCAGCGAAUUGAAGCCCCGGUAAACGGCGGCCGUAACUAUAACGGUCCUAAGGUAGCGAAAUUCCUUGUCGGGUAAGUUCCGACCUGCACGAAAGGCGUAACGACUUCCGCGCUGUCUCAACCAGUGGCCCUGCGAAAUUGACGUUGGGGUGAAGAUGCCCCAUACCCGCAGAAAGACGGAAAGACCCUGUGAACCUUUACUCUAGCUUGGCAGUGACAUUCGACAUUAUCUGUGUAGCAUAGGUGGGAGGCGUUGAGUUCGGCGCGCUAGUGUCGAAGGAGCCACCGUUGAAAUACCACCCUGAUGAUGUUGGCUGUCUAACUUCGAAAGAAGGACACUGCCUGGUGGGGAGUUUAACUGGGGCGGUCGCCUCCCAAACAGUAACGGAGGCGCGCGAUGGUUCUCUCAGCCUGAUCGGAAACCAGGCGUAGAGUGCAAAGGCAUAAGAGAGCUUGACUGCGAGACGGACACGUCGAGCAGGUUCGAAAGAAGGCCUUAGUGAUCCGGCGGUCCCAUAUGGAAGGGCCGUCGCUCAACGGAUAAAAGGUACUCCGGGGAUAACAGGCUUAUCACGCCCAAGAGUUCACAUCGACGGCGUGGUUUGGCACCUCGAUGUCGGCUCGUCGCAUCCCGGGGCUGGAGCAGGUCCCAAGGGUUUGGCUGUUCGCCAAUUAAAGCGGCACACGAGCUGGGUUCAAAACGUCGUGAGACAGUUUGGUCCCUAUCUUCUGUGGGCGUUGGAGAGUUGAGAGGAUCUGUCCUUAGUACGAGAGGACCGGGAUGGACACACCUCUGGUGUUCCGGUUGUCGCGCCAGCGGCACUGCCGGGUAGCUAAGUGUGGACGGGAUAACCGCUGAAAGCAUCUAAGUGGGAAACCCCCCUCAAGAUUAGCUCUCCCCAAAGCACCCAGGUAGACUACCUGGUCGAUAGGCAGGACGUGUAAUCGCAGCAAUGCGUUCAGCGAACCUGUACUAAUUGUCCGUUCGGCUUGUUC